rnacentral:rRNA from 1 species
AAUAGAUACCCGGGUAGUCCACGCCGUAAACGAUGGAUGCUAGCCGUUGGAUAGCUUGCUAUUCGGUGGCGCAGCUAACGCAUUAAGCAUCCCGCCUGGGGAGUACGGCCGCAAGGUUAAAAACUCAAAGGAAUUGACAGGGGCCCGCACAAGCGGUGGAGCAUGUGGUUUAAUUCGACGCAACGCGAAGAACCUUACCAGCUCUUGACAUUCACUGAUCGCCUGGGGAGACCUGGGAGUCCUAGCAAUAGGCAGUGGGACGGGUGCUGCAUGGCUGUCGUCAGCUCGUGUCGUGAGAUGUUGGGUUAAGUCCCGCAACGAGCGCAACCCUCGCCAUUAGUUGCCAUCAUUAAGUUGGGCACUCUAGUGGGACUGCCGGUGAUAAGGCCGGAGGAAGGUGGGGAUGACGCCAAGUCAUCAUGGCCCUUACGGGCUGGGCUACACACGUGCUACAAUGGCGUGACAAGUGCGCAGCCACCUAGCAAUAGGGAGCUAAUCGCAAAAAGCCGUCUCU